rnacentral:tRNA from 2 species
AGCUAAUAAGCUUGAAUAGCAUAUGUUUUGAAAACAUAAGAUAGAAACUUAAUAUUUCUAUUAGCUU